GGAAGAUGGGGCUGUAGGUGGAAUAGGAAACUGGGGUAGUCUGCUCUAGAAUAGAAGCAUCAGGCAUAGUGAUAGAAGGGCGGCUACCAUCACCUACAGUAUCAAAUAGUGAUUCAUCAGCCACUCCUGAAGUGGCAUUAGCAUCAGCUUCCAGUCCAGUUCUCGCUUUCUUUUUAGGUUACAUUUACUGAAAGAUAGAACAAUGCACUAAUUAGAGAGGGAACAAUUUUUCCAUACAACCCAGAAUAUCA
rnacentral:lncRNA from 1 species